rnacentral:rRNA from 1 species
AACAAACGCUGGCGGCGUGCCUAAUACAUGCAAGUCGAACGGGGAAAGCUUUCGGGUGAGUACUAGUGGCGCACGGGUGAGUAACGCGUGGAUAAUCUGCCUUAGAGUGGGGGAUAACUAGUCGAAAGAUUAGCUAAUACCGCAUAAGACCACAAGAACUGCGGUUCAAGGGGUCAAAGGUUUUUCGCUCUAAGAUGAGUCCGCGUAAGAUUAGCUAGUUGGUAGGGUAACGGCCUACCAAGGCGACGAUCUUUAACUGGUCGGAGAGGAUGAUCAGGCACACGGGAACUGAGACACGGUCCAGUCUCCUACGGGAGGCAGCAGUAAGGAAUAUUGGUCAAUGGGCGCAAGCCUGAACCAGCCAUGCCGCGUGCAGCAAGACGGCCCUCCGGGUUGUAAACUGCUUUUGUACGGGAAUAAACCUUUCUUCGUGAAGGAAGCUGAAUGUACCGUAAGAAUAAGGAUCGGCUAACUCCGUGCCAG